rnacentral:sRNA from 1 species
AUGUACCACCCGUACACUCCGGUUCCUCCGCGCCGUCCACACCCACCUG